rnacentral:lncRNA from 1 species
CUCUCGGACCGAGGCGACCCCAGUCCGUGAGCGGCUUGGAUCCUCGCCCGUUCCCUCCUGGUCGUUUCCGCAGUAACCUCUUAUCAGAGCGGGCAGCUGUGAGUGGCGCUCACAUCCGCCGCUGCCCUGUCGAAUGGGGGAAAGAGUUCUUGUGUUCUGAGGAGGGUUUGGCUAUGGUCCUUGACCCUAUUCUUGUCUCAGACUUGCCUCCCAGAUGCUGUAGAAGAACCUCUUCUGCAAGACCAUUCAUUCAUGCCUUGAGACAGUAUGAAUCAAGCUGACUUUUUUUUUUUCCAAGGAGUUUUUAAACUAUAUAUGUGACACCCCGAUGAAUAAGAAGAGCAGCCAGCUGAGAAGGGGAACUCUACAAAGCUAUUUUUUCAACAGCUGUGACUGACCCACUCACCUCACAGGACUCCAGUGGGCACUAAUGGAAAUGGAGAGAAAGACAAACAAGAUGACCCUGUUAGCUCCCUGUGUACUGCAGAUGUGGUGUAGGCUGUGCUCCGAACUUAGAGAGAAGAAGGAAGAGAGGACAACCCCUCUAUCCCCAAAUUCUCUUCCAACCCUGUUCUGCCAGCCAUCUGAUUGGAAGCAAGAGGGAAGGGAGGCCUGUGGUGACCUCUCUCUUGACAACAGGGGAAAACCUGACCCUAGAAAAAUCAGCUCAAUCAAUAUCAUGUGAUCUUAUCAAAGCAAGCAACCCUACUCCCUAAACUGGUGGAAACGGUGUGAAUGUCAACUAGAGUUCUAUACUUUAAAAACAACAAAAAUAUUGCAAAUUUUGAGUAUCCUUCCUAAAGAAAACAACAUAUUGUAAUCUUGUUUUCUGUUAGAUAAAUCUCUGUUAAAAAGAA